rnacentral:rRNA from 1 species
AGUGAACGCUGGCGGCAGGCCUAACACAUGCCAGUCGAACGGCAGCAGGAUAAUAGCUUUCUCUUUGCUGUGGCGAGGCGAACGCGUGUGAAAUAUAUAUGGAACUCUCCUAUUUCGGGGGGGAAAACCUGGGAAAGCUAACUCAAAUACCGCAAACGACCUACAGGAGAAAGCAGGGGAUCAUCGGACCUUGCCCGAUUUUGUGAGCCGAUGUCGGAUUAGCUAGGUGGUGGGGUAAAGGCGCACCAAGGCGACGAUCCGUAGCUGGUCUGAGAGGAUGACCAGCCACACUGGAACUGAGACACGGUCCAGACUCCUACGGGAGGCAGCAGUGGGGAAUAUUGGACAAUGGGCGCAAGCCUGAUCCAGCCAUGCCGCGUGGAUGAAGAAGGCCUUCGGGUUGUAAAGCCCUUUUGGUGGGAAGGAAGAGCAGAAGGUUAAUACCUUGCCGUAUUGACGGUACCCAAAGAAUAAGCACCGGCUAACUCCGUG